UCAGUCCAAGCAAUGUCCCUCGCUGGAGAAACGGACUCUGCCUGAGGAUUUCUGUCUUGAACUGAUAAGGUUGUGGGAGGACACAAUGGGAUUUCUUCUUAGGCUCCCAGCAUCCAACAGUGCAGCAUCCAUGCGGACUUCCGUUGUCCUGCCAGAAUUCCAGGAAACUAGGCAGAAUGGAAAGUUCCAGGGCCUCCAUGUGCCCCUCCCACAAGUACCCUGUGGACUAACACUGUAUGCCUCUGCUCCGGCAUACACGAAGGUGUAAUUAAGUCUCUGGUGAUUACUAUUGAGAAUGAAUAGCACCGGAAGUGCAAAAUAAAGCCGUAUUCCUUGGUCUGAGGGAGAAGCAAGGAUCAGUGUCAGCAUUUUUUCCUCCCACAAUGGUGAAACAGGUAUGUCAGAGUUACCUUUUUUUUCCCCUUCUAUGUGAAUUUUGCGUGAGCAGAAAGACUUUCCAAUAUAAAGUCAUUUACUAAACUGAGAGGAAAAUUCUUAGAUAGAUGUCUAUGUUUUGCCUGGUGGCUGACAUGCAAGGAUUAUUUUGACAGAAAGUAAAUAGCAAGGCAGUAUGAGAGACUUGAGAAGAAAAAAAAAUGGUUCAGCUCAUGUGUUAUUUAGUGAACAGGCCCAAUCAAUUUAACUUCCACUGCCAGAGGAGGGAGUUAUGUGGCUGUAUUGGGCAAGGCUCACAAAUUAUAAUCAAGAAGUAAAUAAUAUUGAAACCUUACAAAUUGAAUUUUUAUUAAGAAAUUCAUCUCUGGUUACCUCAGGGUUUAUAAAAUUUUUUAGUACUUGUGGAAGAAGGCAGUAUAUCUCAAUGUACAAUACCAGAUUGAUUGGGGUGAGUAAUUUUAACUUUUUAGGGUCAGAAAUAUACCUCACCUUUUAAAACAGGCUUAAUGGGAAGGAAGCUGACAAAUGUGCUAUAAAAGACAGUCUAUGCCUUCUUACAUUGCCUUUUAUCCACAUUACCACUCCUGCUGUGGGUCCCAUGUACUUUACAAAUUGGGAUUAAUGGCUUUUUUUUUUGCAUGAGAGUUUCAAGGUCACAAUUUCAUAAAUCGUGCAAAUAAACAAAUCCUCUCUAUCAUCGACUCUGUGUACUUAACAUUUUUAUAUUUAUUACUUUCUGCAUUUAUAAGAUACUGGAACUGCUAUUAAUAAUUUGUAUUUCCUGUACAGGCAUAUAGCUUAGCUCGAAAAUGUGAGUGGAAACUUUAACACCACAUUUUUCAAGGAUGACCAAGUGGAGAUGUUUUCUGUUCAUGCACGGCUCAUUGCCAUAGUUUCUUCAGUUAAAGCAGAAAUAACAGCAACUGACCUUUGAGAGUAUUAUAUGAAAGGCAUUUUGCAUGUAGAUUGUUAUUUCAGAAAGCUAUAUAUAUCAAUAUAUUAUUGAUAGCAUGUUAUAGUGAGAAGAAUUCUAGGCCAAGUUUCAGGUCUUGCUAUGUUAUUAAUGGCAGUGUCAGAUGGGUUUUGAGUGACAAUGUACCCUUGCUCUCAAAGUCCAUGUCUCUCCAUGCCUAUCACCAUUUAAAAUAUUUAUUUGCUUUUGUUUUGUUGGUGUAUGUUUCGCCUGCAUGAACAUAUGUGCACCUUGUGCAUGCCCCUGGCAUCUGAGGGGGCCAGAAGAGGGUGUCAGAUCCCUUGGAACUGGAGUUACUGUGUGCUGCCACGUAGUUGUUAGGAACUCAAUGGUCCUGCCCUCAGUGGUCUUCACUGCAGAGCCAUCCCUAUAGCCUCGACAACCGUUUUCUCAAGAGUGUUAUCCUGCUUUAGUUUUGCCCCAUGGUGUCUGACACACGGGGGAUAUGAUGAGAGGAACUUAAGGAGGGUUAUUUCAGCUCACAGUUCAAGGGUAUAGGCUAGCAUGUUGGGGAAGUCCCAGCAGCAGAGACUGAGGUAGCUCUUCACAUUGCAGAAAAGCAGCAAAGCGGAAGGGGCAGACACAUGCAUGCUAGUGCUCAGUCACUUCUGCUUUCUCAGGUGUAAGACCCACAGUGGAUCUUCCUGCAACACAACAUAAUCUAGACACCCGUCCCACCCAUGCUCAAGGUCCCUUCUCCCAGGCGACGCCAGAUUCUGUCAAGUUGACAAUUAACUCCAACCUUCACUCUUUUUGAUAGAAAGAAAACAUCCACUUCCCAUUUGAUUGACCACAGCAGUUCAUAUAGAUCUACUUCUUUUGCCUGGGCAGUUAAGUGCAGUAUUCUCCCAUUCCAGGAAGCAGGGUACACCAUCAACAAACGGCAUGGUCACAAAAGCUUUCAGAAAAAAUGUAAAAUAAAUAAAACUGCUUUUCCUUUCCAGGCCUUUCUCCAAGAAUAAGACUCUGAGACUAAUUAUUUAUUAAUAAAUGUCUUUGCU
rnacentral:lncRNA from 1 species